GCACAAUUUUCCUGAAACCCUUGGGCUCCUCCCCACCUCCCUGUCCCAGUCUGAGCCCAUGUGUAUAUUCGUGGAUCUGGAAAAAGGAGUUUAAGUGAUCUUCAGGAGCCAGCUAGACUUAACUUUCCUUUUCUCUGUUCUUGGAGCCCCAGUGUUUCUGCCAUGGAGUGGAGGCAGCUGAGGGGCUGGACUUAAUGAAUGUCUGUCCGUGUCGUCUUGGGUCUGUUUGAGCUACUGGGGAGUGGUUGUGGGCCUGUGAAACCCUAUGCCCCAAACUCGGAGAAAUCAAGUUUUGUUCUCUUGUUGCAUUACUUAUACUGUGUUGUAGCUGAUUUACUUUGAUAAGUUCUGUUGAUCUUCCCUUGAGGUGACCCUGAAUAGAUGUUUCUUUGCCUUGUGUAGUCUUUAAUUAGUGAUCAGGUUUUUAAAAUACCCUAAAGCCCCAGGAAUUUAUUUUUGAAGGACCCUCCCCAUUGCCAUUUUCCUUUGUGUGAGCAUGUUGGUCCUUUUCGUAUUUUUCCAGCUUGGAUUUUUUUGCGGGGGUGGGGUGGGCAGUGAGGGCUGCAGCACCCUUUAAUAAAUAACUUUUAAAGUUGGUUUGAGCAGGACAUGGAGUUUCUAGAAAUUUCUGAAAGUCCUUGGUACUCUGUUCCUCUCUGCUUUAACCAGAUUUAGAGGACUGGUUUUGACUUUGUAUUUUCCUAUGAGAUAGAUAAUUACUCUUUUAGAGGAAUAAUCCUUUUUUAUACCCUUUGGUGAUGUUGACCUAAUCAGCCCUCAUUUCAUCCUCUACAUAUUCUUGUGAAAUGCACGGAGACUUGAGAACUGACCGUGCCGAAGCUGGCGAUUUCCUGAGCCUCUUACUCUGAGCACAGCGACCCCGACUCCCAGCUGUUCUGGGAUCACCUAGGGGGCAGCCUCUGAAGUAUGUAACUGACGCAGUUACUCUCUUAUUACCCGUUAAAGGCUUAUCACAGGAGAAAAGAUUGUCAGGGAGAACUGUUCUUCAGACAGCCUGUAUUUUGGUUCCCAGAAUCUAUGUGGUCUUUGCAUUUGGGUCCCAUGAGCAAGCUCCGUGGUUCCCCUCACACAGGGGCCCCAGGAGGCUUGAGGGCAGCAGAAUGGCUUUGCCACUGAACCGUGUUCGGCGACAGCUGGGGUGUGAGCGUGCUGUGAGGCUGGGCGUGUCUCAUCUUCAGGUCCCCUCCUUGUGGUUGUUACAAAGAAAUGUAAGAGGUAUCUGUGCAGUGUGUGGCAUUCUAGUAGCUUGUGCCAUGUCCACUAAGGCAAAGUUGGAAACAAAAUAACACUCUAAACAGGGUGAAAUUCUAGACAGUGGUUUUCCUGGGAGAGUGGACCAAGUUUGCACAGGAAACUUCCAGAAAAUGUUACUUGAAAAUGGUUGAAGCGAGGGAAAGCUCCGGAUGAUUAUGGCUUGGGAUUCCUUGUGGCUUGAGGAACUCUGUUUUAAUCAGGCAGACCCCUUCUUCUGCACUGGAGAAUGUGUUCAGAGCCUGGAGAGAUGGUAGGAGGACUUGCUGGCAAAUGACUUGCAGUGAGCCCCCAGCCACGGCUGUCACUGUUGUCAGGUGGGGGGUUGGAGGGGAGCAUGGCAGAGAGCUUACCCCCUUAGUUUGUCCUGAAAGAGGGGAUAUUACUGACCUGCCGAUGUUCUGGGAGAGGGGACAGGCACUGCAGGGCACUGGACCGCAGGGUCUGCCACGGGUGCGUGAGCAGGUUCUGGCAUCAGGCUGUGGGGGGUGACAGCCGAGAAAGGUGCUGCUGCUGCCUUUGCUCCGCAGCGAGGAGCCGCUUGCAGUACACUCUGCAGCUCCCUCAGUGCAUUGUCCCUGGGGAGGAAGAGGAACUGAGACGCAGGCAGGGGACCUGAAUGGUGAGAGAGUGAAGUUGUGGGAGUUAUUUGAGGUCAUAUGCUCAGACUUGUUCCUGGAGGCAGCUGCUCUGAACCUCUCGUGCCCUCAUGCUUUGCCUGGGCCGCAGACCACCAGGGACAGCUCCUGCUGAGGACAAGCCCAGACCUGGCACAGGGCCCAGAAGCCUCGCCUCAGCCCAGCUGGCAGGUGCUGUCUUUACAGGAGAGGCUGAUGAGUGAUGCACAGUGAACCCAUGCCGGGUCGCCGGCGGGUCUCCACUCAGAGCUGCCCGACCCGUAGCCCUUGGUGCUGGCAGGCGAUGUUCACACUGGCCUCCCUGUCAGCAACGCGGCCAGUCCUGGGACUCGGCGUGGUCUGUGCGCAGUCACGGCCCGCGGCCCCAUGGGAGCCCGAGUGCUAGCACAGGACCGUGCUGCUGGAGCCACAGGUUUCGGUCGCGCACGCGCUUUGGGACUCACGUGCGUGGGGCAGGUUUGAGGGGCUUGUCGAGCUGCAGAGCGGAAGUGUGUUUGGCAUCCUUGGUAAAUGUAGACCGAAAACACUGUGACCUGGUGUUACUUUUCUUCUUCAUUUGGAUAUAAGGGAGAGUUUGUGACUAGGCAAGACAUCCUCUAAAAUGACUGGGACUUGGGGCUUUGGUCCUGAUCACUGUUGAAUUAUAAUAACUGGAGACAAGAAGGGACUUAGGGUUGUUAAAAGUCACAGAACUAGUACGAUGAUGAAUGACGGCCUGUUGUGAAAAUAGAUUUCACCGUGUGCCCUAGGACGAUGCUACAUUAAAGGUGGGCUUUGGUAAUGUGUGUGAAUAUACGUUUUGGAAGUAAUGAGAUCUUCAGUGUAUCCAUUAAAAAUUUUUUUAAAAAACACCUUUGUA